AGCAAGGAAUUUUCGUCAAUGGGGGGAACCCUGAACGAGCAACGCCGCGUGGGCGAAGAAGUCCUUCGGGAUGUAAAGCCCUUUUCCCUGUGAAGAAGGAAAGACGGUAGCAGGGGAAUAAGCAUCGGCUAACUACGUGCCAGCAGCCGCGGUAAUACGUAGGAUGCAAGCGUUGUCCGGAAUUAUUGGGCGUAAAGAGCGCGCAGGCGGUUCGUCAAGUCAGAUGUGAAAUAACCCGGCUUAACCGGGGGGGGUCAUUUGAAACUGGCGGACUAGAGUGUACCAGAGGAUAGCGGAAUUCCCGGUGUAGUGGUGAAAUGCGUAGAUAUCGGGAGGAACACCAGUGGCGAAGGCGGCUAUCUGGGGUGCAACUGACGCUGAGGCGCGAAGGCUAGGGUAGCAAA
rnacentral:rRNA from 1 species